AGAGUUUGAUCCUGGCUCAGGACGAACGCUGGCGGCAUGCCUAAUACAUGCAAGUCGAGCGGACUUGAUGAGAAGCUUGCUUCUCAGAUGGUUAGCGGCGGACGGGUGAGUAACACGUAGGCAACCUGCCCUCAAGCUUGGGACAACUACCGGAAACGGUAGCUAAUACCGAAUACUUGCUUCCUUCGCCUGAAGGAAGC
rnacentral:rRNA from 1 species